CACUGGGUUUUACAUGUGUCAUUGAUCAAGACCUAUUUCCAUAGUAUUAGCAUUUGCAUUAGGGUGGUCGUUUGGAGUCUAUAUCCCCAAUCAUAUCCCCAUUGAUUCAUGUGACCAAGCAGUUGUUUUUCUUCUGUGUUUCUACUCCCACAGUUCUUUCAAAAAGGAGUCUUCUUGAGACUGCAAGCCCAGUGCUCUAUUCUUUGGAAACAUCUAACUGCCCUAGUGAAAAAGGUGUCUGGUUUCCAGGAGCCCUAGGACACAGGAACCAAGGAGACUGCCCAGACAGGCUUGGGGGACUGGUCUGCCCCUCCCUGCACCUGUCUCCCUCACAGAAUAAGGGAGCCCAAGGGAUGGGUAUACAAGAGGCAGAACAACGUCCAGGAACAAGACCAGACGAGAGGGGCUGAAGACUGGACAAAGGCCUAGAGUGGAAAAAAAAGUCAGGACCCCUGGAUUCUCUGCCCAACUUUUCCCUAGAAACACUCCUUCCUUCCCCGGGUUAUGAUGUGCCUCCUUCACCUCCCCCCUCCUUCUGCCUUCAUGCUGAGGAUGCAAGAAACUCUGAAUGAGAACUGUGGUCUGAUUCAGAGCUUUCAGCUUUCUAAGCAAAAGGCCUUGUCCAGCUGAAACACCAACUCGGCACCUCCAUUCCCAUUUUCUGAGUCUCCAAGCACUUUACUGAGUUUAACUGGCCCUCCCCCCACUGAUACUCACCCCCCCUUUCCCACCCCAGCCCCUGAAAUCUGCCGCCUGGGCACCAUCCCAGCCUCUCAUGGUGUGUUUUCUCUGUUUCAUUAUCUGCUCCGGGCACCAGGGACGCCAGCACCAAAAUUAAAACAAUAACUAAGCCAGAAGUGGACCCAGCGGCCCCUUCGCCCCUCACCCCGGCCAAGAAGCCCACAGAUGCAUCCAGAAAGGAGAAGGGGGAGUGACCAGGGCCCUCAACAUGCCAGGGCACCUUAUUAACCCUUUGUCCCUUGUAAAAUAACUAGAACUUUCUUGGGUGGGGCCCUUCUCCCAGACUGAACUAGUGUGCCUACCUGAUAGGGACUCUCUGGGUCACUGUGAGAACCCAGCCAUGAUGUCCGUGGACUCCAGACCUAUGUUAGCUCCUUGGUCCCAGAAUGAUUUCGAAUGUGCACUAGGACACAAGGGGGGGACUGUGGAAGCAGGGAUGCCUGGCCUCCCAGAGGAUGCUUGAAUCAUUCCUUUGUGGCCCAGACUGUCUCCUACCUAUGACCCAUUCAUGGAAUAAGAACCAUAAGUGGGGACACAUCUUCCUGCUCUUCCAGAACACGUUAGACAGGGACAGUGGGAUCAUAGAGCUCUGGGACGAGCUUGGCUAGGAUGGAGUCGGGCAGCUUCAAAGCCACCAUCUUCAACACUUCUGGAAGACUUUGGGGGGAAUCUAUGAGCAGGGCCUAGAAAUUCUUGGCUCUGUCAAAGAAUGGUUCAUUCUCUGAUCCUCCAGCUAACACUUUCACGGUCUGUAGAUUGGGCCUUGCUAGUAUGGCAAGGAUAGGAAUCCAUCCGUUAUUACAGUGCCCUUUUCCCCCUCCCCGUACUGGUCUGGGUUUGAGAAUUGGACGGAGGCGGGAGGUAACCAAUAAAACUGCUGAGGCUGGA
ensembl:lncRNA